GGCAGGAUGGCCGAGUGGUCUAAGGCGCUGCGUUCAGGUCGCAGUCUCCCCUGGAGGCGCGGCUGGAGGCGCGGGUUCGAAUCACGCAUC
rnacentral:tRNA from 1 species